GAAGUGAGCCGGAUGGUCGCUGCUGUGGAGGUCUCCGUGACUGGAAGCAGGAGAGGAAAGUCCGGGCUUCAUAGGGCAGGGUGCCAGGUAACGCCUGGGCGGUGAAAGCCGACGGAAAGUGCAGCAGAGAGUAGACCGCCUCAUUCGUGAGGUAAGGGUGAAAGGGUGCGGUAAGAGCGCACCGCGUGUCUGGUAACAGUUCACGGCAUGGCAAACCCCACCAGAAGCAAGACCAAAUAGGAAUCCUAGGUGCGGCCCGUACUGGAUUCGGGUAGGUCGCUUGAGCGUAUGAGUGAUUGUACGCCUAGAGGAAUGACCAUCCUCGACAGAACCCGGCUUAUAGGCUCACUUCACCU
rnacentral:RNase_P_RNA from 1 species